GAAAUGCGAUAAGUAAUGUGAAUUGCAGAAUUCAGUGAAUCAUCGAAUCUUUGAACGCACAUUGCGCCCCCUGGUAUUCCGGGGGGCAUGCCUGUUCGAGCGUCAUUUCACCACUCAAGCCUCGCUUGGUAUUGGGCGACGCGGUCCGCCGCGCGCCUCAAAUCGACCGGCUGGGUCUUUCGUCUCCUCAGCGUUGUGGAAACUAUUCGCUAAAGGGUGCCGCGGGAGGCCACGCCGUAAAACAACCCCAUUUUCUAAGGUUGACCUCGGAUCAGGUAGGGAUACCCGCUGAACUUAAGC
rnacentral:misc_RNA from 1 species